rnacentral:rRNA from 1 species
AGCGUAGGUGGCUCGAUAAGUCAGAUGUGAAAUCCCCGGGCUCAACCUGGGAACUGCAUCUGAUACUGUUGAGCUAGAGUAUGUGAGAGGAAGGUAGAAUUCCAGGUGUAGCGGUGAAAUGCGUAGAGAUCUGGAGGAAUACCGAUGGCGGAGGCAGCCUUCUGGCAUAAUACUGACACUGAGGCUCGAAAGCGUGGGUAGCAAACAGGAUUAGAUACCCUGGUAGUCCACGCCGUAAACGAUGUCUACUAGUCGUUGGGUCCCUUGAGGACUUAGUGACGCAGCUAACGCAAUAAGUAGACCGCCUGGGGAGUACGGCCGCAAGGUUACAACUCAAAUGAAUUGACGGGGGCCCGCACAAGUGGUGGAGCAUGUGGUUUAAUUCCGAUGCAACGCGAAGAACCUUACCUGGUCUUGACAUAUCUAGAAUCCUGCAGAGAUGCGGGAGUGCCUUCGGGAAUUAGAAUACAGGUGCUGCAUGGCUGUCGUCAGCUCGUGUCGUGAGAUGUUGGGUUAAGUCCCGCAACGAGCGCAACCCUUGUCCUUAGUUACCAGCGGGUUAAGCCGGGAACUCUAAGGAUACUGCCAGUGACAAACUGGAGGAAGGCGGGGACGACGUCAAGUCAUCAUGGCCCUUACGACCAGGGCUACACACGUGCUACAAUGGUAGGUACAGAGGGCAGCUACACAGCGAUGUGAUGCGAAUCUCAAAAAGCCUAUCGUAGUCCAGAUUGGAGUCUGCAACUCGACUCCAUGAAGUAGGAAUCGC